AGCGUUUCGUCCGGGCCUCGAGUCUC
rnacentral:piRNA from 1 species